rnacentral:rRNA from 1 species
UAGUCCACGCCGUAAGCGAUGUCUGCUAGCCGUCGGGGUACUUGGUACUUCGGUGGCGCCGCUAACGCAUUAAGCAGACCGCCUGGGGAGUACGGUCGCAAGAUUAAAACUUAAAGGAAUUGACGGGGGCCCGCACAAGCAGUGGAGCAUGUGGUUUAAUUCGAAGCAACGCGCAGAACCUUACCAGCCCUUGACAUCCUGAUCGCGGUUACCGGAGACGGUUUCCUUCAGUUCGGCUGGAUCAGUGACAGGUGCUGCAUGGCUGUCGUCAGCUCGUGUCGUGAGAUGUUCGGUUAAGUCCGGCAACGAGCGCAACCCACAUCUUUAGUUGCCAGCAGUUCGGCUGGGCACUCUAAAGAAACUGCCCGUGAUAAGCGGGAGGAAGGUGUGGAUGACGUCAAGUCCUCAUGGCCCUUACGGGUUGGGCUACACACGUGCUACAAUGGCAGUGACAAUGGGUUAAUCCCCAAAAGCUGUCUCAGUUCGGAUUGGGGUCUGCAACUCGACCCCA